CAAAGUUGUGGUGAUGAUUUUUAUCUUUUUUCCCCAGCUUAUCGAUAGAUGCUGAUAACCAUGUGAAACUAAGCCAGUACAAAUCUGAACAAUUUUG